GUGAUGCCCAACUCAGGCCUGUGCCUCCACCCCUCCCAGUCACCACAGUCCUAACCCUUUGUCCUCCCCUCCAGCUGGACAAUGCCAGGCAGUCUGCUGAGAGGAACAGCAACCUGGUGGGGGCCGCCCACGAGGAGCUGCAGCAGUCGCGCAUCCGCAUCGACAGCCUCUCUGCCCAGCUCAGCCAGCUCCAGAAGCAGCUGGCAGCCAAGGAGGCGAAGCUUCGAGACCUGGAGGACUCACUGGCCCGUGAGCGGGACACCAGCCGGCGGCUGCUGGCGGAAAAGGAGCGGGAGAUGGCCGAGAUGCGGGCAAGGAUGCAGCAGCAGCUGGACGAGUACCAGGAGCUUCUGGACAUCAAGCUGGCCCUGGACAUGGAGAUCCACGCCUACCGCAAGCUCUUGGAGGGCGAGGAGGAGAGGCUACGCCUGUCCCCCAGCCCUACCUCGCAGCGCAGCCGUGGCCGUGCUUCCUCUCACUCAUCCCAGACACAGGGUGGGGGCAGCGUCACCAAAAAGCGCAAACUGGAGUCCACCGAGAGCCGCAGCAGCUUCUCACAGCACGCGCGCACUAGCGGGCGCGUGGCCGUGGAGGAGGUGGACGAGGAGGGCAAGUUUGUCCGGCUGCGCAACAAGUCCAAUGAGGUAGGCUCCUGCUCAGGGUCUAAGGGGAUACAGCUGCAUCAGGGAGAGAGUGGCAAGACAGAAGGAUGGCAUGUGGAGAGAGGAACAUCCUUGCCCUCAGAGGGUGGACCAGGGUGAGCCUGUAUAUCUCCUCCACACUCUAGUUCCAGGCCUGGCUCCUGGACUCUUUGGCUGUGAGACCUUGAGCAGGCUAUUUAACCUCUCAGAGCAUCAGUUUCCUCAUCUGUAAAAUGGGGAUGAAUACUGAUCCCUAAGUCUUUGAGUUGUCAGGAAGAUGAAGGAUAAGGUAUCCGUGUGCCUGGUGCUGCGUAUGUGUCCACAGAUCAUGGCUAUUAUCCCCGGGGGAAGGGCAGUGACAGGGGUGUGUGUAGAUGGAAGGAGAGGCCUCAAUUGCAGGCGGGCAGAGGGUUGGGCCUUUGAGCAAGAUACACCCAAGAGCCUGGGUGAGCCUCUCCGACCUUCCUCUUCCCUAUCUUCCCGGCAGGACCAGUCCAUGGGCAAUUGGCAGAUCAAGCGCCAGAAUGGAGAUGAUCCCUUGCUGACUUACCGGUUCCCACCAAAGUUCACCCUGAAGGCUGGGCAGGUGGUGACGGUGAGUGGCAGGGCGCUUGGGACUCUGGGGAGGCCUUGGGUGGCGAUGGGAGCACUGGGGUAAGUGUCCUUUUCUCCUCUCCAGAUCUGGGCUGCAGGAGCUGGGGCCACCCACAGCCCCCCUACCGACCUGGUGUGGAAGGCACAGAACACCUGGGGCUGCGGGAACAGCCUGCGUACGGCUCUCAUCAACUCCACUGGGGAAGUAAGUAGGCCUGGGCCUGGCUGCUUGCUGGACGA
rnacentral:sRNA from 1 species